GGGAGGAGGUGUACCACCCAGCUAACAGUCCAGCUAUAGGGAGGAGCUAUAGGGAGGAGGUGUAGGGAGGAGGUGUAGGGAGGAGCUGUAGGGAGGAGGUGUACCACCCAGCUAACAGUCCAGCUAUAGGGAGGAGGUGUAGGGAGGAGGUGUAGGGAGGAGGUGUACCACCCAGCUAACAGUCCAGCUAUAGGGAGGAGGUGUAGGGAGGAGGUGUAGGGAGGGGGUGUACCACCCAGCUAACAGUCCAGCUAUAGGGAGGAGGUGUAGGGAGGAGAGGUACCACCCAGCUAACAGUCCAGCUAUAGGGAGGAGGUGUAGGGAGGAGGUGUACCACCCAGCUAACAGUCCAGCUUAUAGGGAGGAGGUGUAGGGAGGUGGUGUACCACCCAGCUAACAGUCCAG
ensembl:lncRNA